GGGACCUAUUCGGUAACAAGCUUCCCUGGUGCUUCUUGGGCUCACUGAAGUUGAACCCCCACAGCCGGUGAUGGAGAAUCUGUGCCGGCACCUCCCCUUCCCUCCUGCCUUGAUCUUAAUUCUCCUGUUGAUUAGCAGCACCCGGGGGAUGGACUGGGCUAGGACUCGUGGCUCCAUUCCACUUAGGUGGAAGAAAGCAGCGUGGCAAAGGGAAGGGCACGAAGCUGCCACCUAAGAAAGGUAGAGGCCUGGACCCCCACUUUCGCACCUGCCCCUUUGGUCUAUGGACACGUGAGCUAUGAGUUGCAAUUGGAAGUUUAAUUUUACUUCUCAGACAGUGAAUUUCUAGUUUGCAUGGAAAUGAUUCUACAGAUACAAGGAAGCUCAACUAGAAGCCACAAUUUAAUCUAUGAAGAAGAGCCUAAUACUCUUCCAUAGAGAUUAUACAAGCAUCUCUCUCCCCACCCUCAUGGUCCACAUCCCUGGGGAAAUAAAGGUUCAUUUUUCCCUUCCAAUUAA